UUCAGCCACAAAUAAUUACUCCAAAGAGGUACAAGGCAACAGUAUUCAAAAAACAGCAAGAACAUCUCCAAGAAUGCAGUAAAGAACAGCAUCAUUAGCCAAUGGGGGUGAGCUUUUAAGAGUGGCUGGCAGAGGGCCUGGAGACAGCAAUGCAAAGCCAGAGCCUGAGCUUCUUUAAAGGCUGCCUCGGCCGGCGCGCCCCCGCCCCCGCACUCACCUGGCCUGUGAUACCGGUGAUGAGCGCCACGUUCCUGGGCUUGCCCAUCUCGUGUUGUAUUAUAGGUGUAAGCCACUACUCGCCCCUGUGUAUGUAUUUUUAUGUAAAAUGUAAUAAAAUGUUUUUUCUCAACUGGACAGU
rnacentral:lncRNA from 1 species